UAUGGAAGAGACCACUAAUAUUAAUAGUAUCCAUUUUCCCCCUUCUGCCUUUUAGUACUGAUACUCCCUGACCCUCACCCUCUGCCAAGAUUUAACUGGACACAUGCAACCCAGCUGGAAACUACAUUUCUCAGUGAUAUUUACAACCAGGUAAGCCAUGUUUCUAAAGAUAAUGAAGGAAAUGCCGGGUAAAUUGAUUUAUACAACUUCCAGCUCAUCUUUUUUCCAAAAGCAACUGUGUGCCCUAUACUCUCUCUUCUCCCUUCUUGACUCAUCUCAAGGUGUAUGUGUUAAUAAGCUGUCUUUGAGCAUGCAUAGUCUAGGACAGCAAUGAGAUAGAACGAACCUAGAACUCUGGAUGAUUUCAUGGAGCAGAACCUCUGACCACUGUGAUCAUAACAGACCUACCAUGGGACUGUUAUAUAAGAGAUAAACAUCUAUCUUGUUUGAGCCACUGUAUGUUUGGGUUUCUUCCAACAGCUACCCUGUAUUCUAACUAUAUACCCUCCACACUUGUAAAAUCUGCAAGGAAACUGAGUGAGACAAAUUUCAGGGGCCUAAUAAUCUACUAGUUAUUGGUAGUACCUUCGAGAUUGGAGAGGAUACAUUCAUGUGCAGCUCAUAGACAUAAAAUGAGAAAAGAGUUGGAUUGACAUGUGCCAAGUGACAGAGAAGGCCCAGGAUUGUAAUUUUUUAUCUCCUACAGCUUUCAUAUUAAAACAAUAUAUUCUUAAAAGAUAUAGUAAUAUGUAGAUUACUACCUGACACUCAAAUCUGCAAUCUGAAACAACAGAAUCAAUUAUAACAUUCUUAAAUGAGGGGUAAUUUAUCUGAACAUAACCAUCUGAGACUAAAAUAAGAAGAGGGACUUAGGAAUUCUCAAAUAUUUUGAACUAUAAUCGAACACAAAAAUAACGCAGAGCAGGGCAGCUGGAAAACCAAGGCUGUGACAUGACUGCAUUUGGAUGUGAUAUUGCCUAGAAGCCAAAUGAAGCAAACUGGCUUCUUCUCAAGGGCCAGGGAAGAGGCUAUUAACGGAACUAAACCCUUGAUCUGUUACUGUUGACAUGUUCCUAUCAAAAGUCCUAUAAUAUCCUUUUCUUAUAAAAUAACAAGGAUAUGAUACAUGUUCACAGGACAGAUGAGCCAAAAAAUCUGAGCCUAUGACUUUGGCCAUGUGACAGCACCUUUAAGAAAAUAAUUUUCAGAGGAGCCUGAGGAAGAGGGCAGCGGCGGUUGUGGUGACUGAGCAGAGCCCCGUGACAGGAUGGACUCUAUAUGAUCUAUAUCCAACCUGAUUUGUCAAAGUGUGGAAUUUGGGCAAGGACACUCCUCAAAUUGGUGUUGGUAUUAGGAGAUCUGCACAUCCCACACCAGUGCAACAGUUUGCCAGCUAAAUUCAAAAAACUUCUGGUGCCAGGAAAGAUUCAGCACAUUCUCUGCACAGGAAACCUUUGCACCAAAGAGAGUUAUGACUAUCUCAAGACUCUGGCUGGUGAUGUUCAUAUUGUGAGAGGAGAUUUUGAUGAGAAUCUGAAUUAUCCAGAAGAGAAAGUUGUGACUGUUGGACAGUUCAAAAUUGGUUUGAUCCAUGGAUAUCAAGUUAUUCCAUGGGGAGAUAUGGCCAGCUUAGCCCUGUUGCAGGGGCAGUUUGAUGUGGACAUUCUUAUCUCAGGACACACACACAAAUUUGAAGCAUUUGAGCAUGAAAAUAAAUUCUACAUUAACCCAGGUUCUGCCACUGGAGCAUAUAAUGCCUUGGAAACAAACAUUAUUCCAUCAUUUGUGUUAAUGGAUAUCCAGGUUUCUACAGUGGUCACUUACGUGUAUCAGCUCAUUGGAGAUGAUGUGAAAGUAGAAAGGAUCGAAUAAAAAAAUCUUAAAGCCAGCCCUGUCUUGAUGAUUUUACUGAGUGUCUUUUUUUUGGUUGUUGUUCAUUCCUUUGUUCAAAUCAAGUAAUUAAACAUUUAAGAGCCACAGAAUUGUAUCACUUUUAUAAUAUCUUGCAGUAAAAUAUACCAUC